rnacentral:rRNA from 1 species
GAUGAACGCUGGCGGCGUGCCUAAUACAUGCAAGUCGAGCGAACAGAUAAGGAGCUUGCUCCUUUGACGUUAGCGGCGGGCGGGUGAGUAACACGUGGGUAACCUACCUAUAAUACGGGAAUAACUCCGGGAAACCGGGGCUAAUGCCGGAUAACAUUUAGAACCGCGUGGUUCUAAAGAGAGAGAUGGUUUUGCUAUCACUUAUAGAUGGACCCCCGCCGUAUUAGCGAGUUGGUAAGGUAACGGCUUUCCAAGGCAACGAUACGUAGCCGACAUGAGAGGGUGACUAGCCACACUGGAACUGAGACCCGGCCCAGACUCCUACAGGAGCGAGCAGUACGGCAACUUGCGCAAUGGGCGAGAGCCUGACGGAACAGCGCCGCGUGCGUAAUGAGGGUCGUCGGAUCCUAAAUCUCUGUUAUCAGGGAAGAACACAUGUGUAAGUAACUGUGAGCGUCUUGACGGUAACUAAGCAGAGAGCCACCGCUAACUACGUG